rnacentral:rRNA from 1 species
UGGGGAAUAUUGCGUAAUGGGCGAAAGCCUGACGCAGCAACGCCGCGUGAGUGAUGAAGGCUUUCGGGUUGUAAACCUCUUUCAGGAGGGACGAAGCUUCCGGGGUUAAUAGCCUACGGGGUGACGGUACCUCCAGAAGAAGCCCCGGCUAACUACGUGCCAGCAGCCGCGGUAAUACGUAGGGGGCAAGCGUUGUCCGGAAUCAUUGGGCGUAAAGCGCGUGUAGGUGGCUUGGUAAGUCCGGUGUGAAACCUUGGGGCUCAACCCCAAGCCUGCAUCGGAUACUGCCUCGCUCGAGUUCGGGAGGGGAGAGCGGAAUUCCUAGUGUAGCGGUGAAAUGCGCAGAUAUUAGGAAGAACACCGGUGGCGAAAGCGGUUCUCUGGAUCGAUACUGACGCUAAGACGCGAAAGCGUGGGGAGCAAACAGGAUUAGAUACCCAAGUAGUCCCUGAGCGGGCUGGCAAGGCGCAU